rnacentral:rRNA from 1 species
GGAUGAACGCUGGCGGCGUGCCUAACACAUGCAAGUCGAGCGAUUACUUCGGUAAAGAGCGGCGGACGGGUGAGUAACGCGUGGGUAACCUGCCUCAUACACAUGGAUAACAUACCGAAAGGUAUGCUAAUACAGGAUAAUAUAAGAGAUUCACAUGAAUUUCUUAUCAAAGCUCCGGCGGUAUGAGAUGGACCCGCGUCUGAUUAGCUAGUUGGUAAGGUAAUGGCUUACCAAGGCGACGAUCAGUAGCCGACCUGAGAGGGUGAUCGGCCACAUUGGAACUGAGACACGGUCCAAACUCCUACGGGAGGCAGCAGUGGGGAAUAUUGCACAAUGGGCGAAAGCCUGAUGCCAGCAACGCCGCGUGAGUGAUGAAGGCCUUCGGGUCGUAAAACUCUGUCCUCAAGGAAGAUAAUGACGGUACUUGAGGAGGAAGCCCCGGCUAACUACGUGCCAGCCGCAGC